GCAAGGGCUGUAGCUCAGUGGUCGGGCAACAGCCUCCUGUGUCGAAGGUUGCGGGUUCAAAUCCCGGCGCCUCCAUUUGCA